UAGAAAAAUGAAAAGUAUGGGAUAAAAUUGGAAAAAAAUAUUCAGAGCUUUAAUUCGAAUAUUGAAUUUGAAGUUUUUUAAGGCAGUUUUUUUACAGAUUUUAUCCUAUAUUUAUCAUCUCACCUGAUAACUCGGUGGUGGGGUUCUAAACUGGAAUUCCGGAUAGAUCAUAGCGGCGUAAGGAUGUAUCGGUCUCGCAGGGGGAAUCCUACCGGAAAUACCCGUGAAGCCAAACAAGCUGCCACAGUAGUCUUGGUUGGUCAAUCGCCACGCUACCGCACUCACCAACACCAGGAGCACUCCUAUACCUGUAACAAACAACGCGUACCAUUGUAAUAAUAAUACUUAUGUAAUACCGUAUUGUAACAGCUAUGUAAUAACUUUUGUUUUAUAAUUACAAUAGGGAAGAAGUAAUCUUCCCUAUUCGUCUAUUUACAAUCUUGUUUUAAGUAAUUGAAACGCGUAAAGAUACACGGAAGUACCUCGCUACGAUUUUUGUGAUGACUUAUCGCCAGACACUAUCGUGUCUCUUGAUAUUUAUAGACUAUAGUCUGGUUUUUAAGUGAAAGUAGAAAGAAAAAAAGAAUGAAACAUAAAUUAAACAGUGUUUAUCUGUCGAUCUAGCCAACAAGCAGCGGCAUCUGUUUCCCUGAUCUAUCUACGGGUAACGUCAUUCCUUCGAUCUCACGGCCCCUCCACAUGUGUAUAUAUAAGUGUACGACAUCGAUCUCUCUCUGUACUCUGUAGGUUAGAGCAUUCCCCCAUUGUGAGAGGCAUUCUGAGCGGGUCGCAGGUUACAUGCCCACGUUUAGAAAUUUUAUUGCGAGAUCGUACAUCGAUGAUCUCUCGAAUAAGAAAAACGUGUUGUCUCCUUACCGGACAUGAAUAUCCCCACGAGGUGAUCCCGACCGGAGGCUUUGAGUGCGCCUAGAAGAGUGCCAGCACCGGCACAAACCAGACCUACGAAACCGACACCCAAUAUGGACCAGCGUACAGGCGGGGAACUCAAGCCGCAGCACUGUUUCGGCACUGUAUCUCUGUGACACAAGAAGCGAUCGUUGAGUGACCCACUGACACACACUCGUCUCGUGACGAUCAUUUGGCGUACGAGCACCGUACAUCGGCCCAAUUUACCUGCCAAAGGCAGAGACGCUGGCAGGUACAGGGAAGGGUAGACCGAGGCUGAGGCCUCUGAGACCCAAGUGAGGGGGUGGAGGAUGAAGGAAACCUCUAGGGGGUGGCACCAACGGCACUCCCAGCGCGGUCGAGACUGUCUGACAGCCUGGCGCACUUCCGGGAUAUGUCGUCGGCAUGGAACAGGAUCUCAGGGCGCGACGAUGCUGUCUCCGUAACCGUCGCUCUCGCCUACGCCGGGCAUCUCGGAUACCAUCGGACAUCUCCUCGUUCUGACAGCCUGCUUCUGGUCCAGCGUGAAGCGCCAGCUCCGUCUGCGCCUCCGUCGAAGUGAAAGACCGAGCAUUGUCCCGCGUUGUUUCCUGAAAUGCAAACGGACUAUGAAGAUCUGAGAACGCCGAUUAAUUAUCUACUAAUUUUAAUUAAAUUUAUUAUUUAUUUUUCUUUUUUAUUUUUCUUAUUUUAUUAUUAUAUUUAAUUUAUUAUCCUUAAGGAUAGAAUGAUUUUUGCCCCGCUUUUAAGAUAGCGAAUUAUCUCUGUCUUAUCUCUUUUUCUGCCUAAUAAAACGAACGAGUUUCUUAUCUGAUGCCAAAAUAGCAGAGACUUCAUAAAACACUACUCUAUCUUACUCGUUCUCAUUCUCGUCGGACUCUCGUCUUUAUUGAUGAGCCGCCCAAAUAGUUUCUAUGAAAAUGAACACGUUCGCAUCCUGGAAAGAUUACGAUUAUCCAGAAAUCUUAUCUUAACCAGGGAGCACAUGUAUAAAUAUUAGAUGAGUAGAUAACAAUUUUAUGCAAGGAAUUUUAUGCUUAUAAUAGCUUUAUAUUUACAGAAAUUAGCGUGAAAGAAUGUAUCGAAAAUGUGGGACAAAAAUCUUUUUUUCGUUUUCGAGAAAAUAAGAUAAUUAUGAGAAUACAUUCGAAAAACAGUAUAUAAAAGUAAUAAAGUCUUUUCUCUACAUUA